CCUACGGGAGGCAGCAGUGGGGAAUUUUCCGCAAUGGGCGAAAGCCUGACGGAGCAACGCCGCGUGAGGGAUGAAGGCCUCUGGGCUGUAAACCUCUUUUAUCAAGGAAGAAGAUCUGACGGUACUUGAUGAAUAAGCCACGGCUAAUUCCGUGCCAGCAGCCGCGGUAAUACGGGAGUGGCAAGCGUUAUCCGGAAUUAUUGGGCGUAAAGCGUCCGCAGGCGGCCCUACAAGUCUGCUGUUAAAAAGUGGAGCUUAACUCCAUCAUGGCAGUGGAAACUGUUGGGCUCGAGUGUGGUAGGGGCAGAGGGAAUUCCCGGUGUAGCGGUGAAAUGCGUAGAUAUCGGGAAGAACACCAGUGGCGAAGGCGCUCUGCUGGGCCAUCACUGACGCUCAUGGACGAAAGCCAGGGGAGCGAAAGGGAUUAGAUACCCCUGUAGUCCUGGCCGUAAACGAUGAACACUAGGUGUCGGGGGAAUCGACCCCUCGCGGUGUCGUAGCCAACGCGUUAAGUGUUCCGCCUGGGGAGUACGCACGCAAGUGUGAAACUCAAAKGAAUUGACGG
rnacentral:rRNA from 1 species